rnacentral:rRNA from 1 species
UACGUAGGCAGCAAGCGUUGUUCGGAUUUACUGGGCGUAAAGGGUGCGUAGGCGGCUUUUUAAGUUUGGUGUGAAAUCUCCCGGCUCAACUGGGAGGGUGCGCCGAAUACUGAGAGGCUAGAGUGUGGGAGAGGAAAGUGGAAUUCCUGGUGUAGCGGUGAAAUGCGUAGAUAUCAGGAGGAACACCGGUGGUGUAAACGGCUUUCUGGACCAUAACUGACGCUGAUGCACGAAAGCGUGGGUAGCAAACAGG